GACGGGUGAGUAACGCGUGGGCAACCUGCCUUCAACUGGGGGAUAACACUGGGAAACUAGUGCUAAUACCGCAUGAAAUCAUGACAUCCAAAGGAGCGGUAGAAGAUGGGCCCGCGUCCGAUUAGCUAGUUGGUGAUGUAACGGACCACCAAGGCGACGAUCGGUAGCCGAACUGAGAGGUUGACCGGCCACAUUGGGACUGAGACACGGACCAGACUCCUACGGGAGGCAGCAGUGGGGAAUAUUGCGCAAUGGGGGAAACCCUGACGCAGCAACGCCGCGUGAAGGAUGAAGGUCUUCGGAUUGUAAACUUCUUUGAUGAGGGACGAAUGACGGUACCUCAAAAACAAGCCACGGCUAACUACGUGCCAGCAGCCGCGGUAAUACGUAGGUGGCGAGCGUUGUCCGGAAUUACUGGGUGUAAAGGGCGUGUAGGCGGGAGUACAAGUC
rnacentral:rRNA from 1 species